rnacentral:rRNA from 1 species
GUGAGGAAUUUUCCGCAAUGGGCGAAAGCCUGACGGAGCAAUGCCGCGUGAAGGAUGAAGGCCAAUGGGUUGUAAACUUCUUUUCUCAGAAAAGAAUUAUGACGGUAUCUGAGGAAUAAGCAUCGGCUAACUCUGUGCCAGCAGCCGCGGUAAGACAGAGGAUGCAAGCGUUAUCCGGAAUGAUUGGGCGUAAAGCGUCUGUAGGUUGUUUAAAAAGUAUUCUGUCAAAGAUUAGGGAUUAACCCUAGAUAGGCAGAAUAAACUUUUAAGCUAGAGUUUGGUAGAGGCAGAGGGAAUUCCCGGUGGAACGGUGAAAUGCGUAGAUAUCGGGAGGAACACCAAAGGCGAAGGCACUCUGCUGUGCCAAUACUAACACUGAGAGACGAAAGCGAGGGGAGCAAAUGGGAUUAGAUACCCCAGUAGACC